UUUUGCACUGUAGGCCUGCAAAAAUUAUGACUUGGGCGACAGGAAGGGAAGGGGUUCAUGCUCCUCCUUUGCUGGCCUGAUGCCACUCGUCCCUCUCAGGGGCUUACCCUCCAACCCCAGGGACUCCUUAACCUAGGACACAUUGAGGGACCCUUGGCAAACAUGCUCCUGUCCCCAAAUUCCUUAAAUUGCUGUACUGAUUGGGGACAGAUUUAUCAAGUUUUCAUGCAAUACGUGAGUAUGUGAUAGACACAACCAAGGACCCCAAACUAAGUUGGAGGAAGUUUUCUUUCUUGUUACCUUUUCCUUUUCCUUUGUUUGUUUGUUUGUUGUCUUGAAAACGAAUUUAUUGUAGGUCCCUUCUUUUUCCUUUUUGGACUCCCAAUGGCUAAGUGGAAUUCAGAGCAGAGAGCAACUGUUGCAACUGCUCGCAAGGCUGGAGCCGGUGAAGACGCGAAUAAAGCAAAGGCAGCAAGUAGUGCUUGAAUUCUUCUGAUCUUUCCCAGCAUCUUACCGAGAUAAAUUAUUUUAAACAUUUGGUCACCUUUUGUGGUUUGAAACUUCAAUUCGAGUUGGAUUCCAUUUCACACGCUUACUGAGAAGCUUCAGGAGAAGCCUGGUCCUUUCCUAGGUGCAGAGGACACAGGAGAAAGCAAGACACCCAGAGGUCACACUCUCAUGGAGCUUAUAUUCUAAUGUAUGUGUGUUGGGGGGGGGGGUAGAGCUAAUAAAUAACUUUAAAAAUAA